AUGAAGACAGCAGGAGAGUGGCAAGAUACGUUAUUGUAUCCGCCCGCCGAAGAAGUAAGCAGUUUAACCAACCAGAAUUAUUCUGUUAUUAAGUUGUAAAUCUUUCAGGCACCGCAAUGUUAAUUC
rnacentral:ncRNA from 2 species